GAGCUGACAGCUGCUUGGUAGCUACACUGGAGCCGUAGAAACAGACUAAGAACGCCUGUCUCAAACUAAAGAAUAAAGAAAAAUAUAGAAGACUUUUCCAGCAGAUCAUAGAGAUUUUUGUGGAGAAGGAUCAACACAUGGGCUCAAAAAAAAGCAGCACAUGAACCGCAGUCUGUGGUCCUCCUGACGUGAGGACAGAUGUCUCCGUAACCAUGGGGACAGUGGUGAGGAAUCCACCCGACCAAGCAGAAACAAUGCCUGACCUUUCCUGAAUGGUGAUGAAAGCAGCAGCAGCAGCAAGUGGACAGUAGACAGGAGCAGCAGUGAUGAAGACUCUGAUGAGACGCAUCAUGUACAUCACCACCCACCAGUGCUGCAGCUCAAGGCGGGAAGCCAGCAGCUACUCUCAUCUGUUGAACUGCAGUUUGACAGCAAGAACCGCUGAGGUCCAGCCACGGCUUUUCCUGCACAGGACGUCCACACAGAUGCGGAGGGACUCUGACCAGUGGUGGGAAACAGUCAUCAAGGCUGAAAAAUUUUCCAAAAGGAAAGAGCCAAAAUCAAAUGUGGAGAGAGCAACAUUCAUCAGUGCGCUCCCAAAAGCAACAGCUGCUUUUGACUGAGGCAAUGCCCAUUAGGACAGUUUCACAGAGCUUUUUAAAAACUUUGUGUUUUAAAUGUGUUUUUUAGUUCAAUUGGUGGGCUAUGAUGGAGGUGCAAUGGAUCCCAAAAUCUGAGUGUGAGAGACACGGUUCAAAAGAAUUUGUUCAGAUUUGUAGAAAGUAAAAAAACAGGACAAAAUAAGAUCAAAUCUUACAAUAAUCUUUUUUAAAGCUUAAAAAUUACAUAUCUAAUAAAACAUAUUAUGCUUCAAAACAGACAUACACGCAUAUAAACUGCUUUCCAUGUGAUCACCAGAGGUACCCCGACUGCCAUUAGAUACCGCAAAUGUGCAACUCGCGUUCCACGAUGGAGGCAGGGG